AGGUUGAUAUACUUGUUUGAUUUGAAAUCAUAUUAUAAGCAUGUAUUGGUGCUUGUCAACCUA
rnacentral:tRNA from 1 species